UGCCUUGCUGCCUUUCGCAGGCACGGGCUCCGAUUGCCCUGUGGCUCCAGAGCCAAUCCAGCCCCGCUGCCAGACGCCUCAGUGUAGCCCUGGCACAUGGAGUACACUGCUUGCUCAUGGGCCAUCUGGGGCUUCCUUGACCACCCUCUCGCCUUCCUUGAAAUAUCCAGAAUGUGCCAUGAUCAAUAUUGGUUUCUAUCAGGACAGGUAAGAACGUGCUUUGUGGCUCUGAUUGCUCCUGCUUUUGGGUGCUGUGAAGGGGUCCCCAGUGGGUGCUUGGCUGUUCCUGGAAAGCAGUCAGCUCCCCUGUUCCUGGAGUCAGGUAUCUGAGCAAUGGCAAGUGCCAAAUCUCUAAUUAUUUCUCUAUCAAUCCUGGUUUUAUAGCCAAUGCUUCACCUGUGUACUGUUGGUCACUGGUGGCUUUUGUUCACCAAAUAACAUCCUGCCCAUAUGUGUUGACAUAGGAUAAAGCUGGGCUUGUUGACAUAGGAUAAAGUCACAAAGUGAACCUGCUCAAGUGUUAGAAGCAACAUUGCAGCACUACCAUCAGACUUGGCCCGUGGUUUUUAGCAAUCCUUGCAACUGUGCCUGUCCUUCAGGAUUUAGGGAUAAGCUUUGCUGUCUAAGUAAGCACAUGUAUUCUCUGUCUGAUAGUGGAAACUAGUUAGAACACAGAGUUCUGCCAAAUUUGAUCUUAUAUUUUUUUUGUAUGUCUAAAGCAAGAUCUGAUAGUUUUAAAAGGCUUUCAUGUGACUCUUUCUGGAAUAGUUUUCUUCAGUCACUUCUGUCUGUGCUCUCUUCUGAGUCCAAAUAAGAUGAGGAAACCACAUAGCUGAUGUAAGUACCUCAAGUUAGUGAAAUUAGACCAAAUUGAUUAAGGGCAUGUGUGGCAAGCACAGUGCUUGAAGGCCAACCAGCUGUUUCCUCCUGAGAAAUAUUCUUACCUAGGGACUUGGAAUUCCAAUCAGUUCCAGGUUUUCAGUAUCAGGAUUGUUUAAAUAUUAUGCUCUGCCUUAUUGCUGUCUUUAGGCUGUAGGGUAUGAUCUGUCUUUUCCAAGGAGUUCUGCAAGGAGAGAAAUUAAAUGGAGGGGAGCCAAGGGAUGCUUUUGUCUGUGGUAUAUCACCCAAGCAAGAGUGGUCCCAUCUUUCCCUUGCUCCCUGCUGAUGUGUUUGCUUUGCUGGGGCAUCUUUUUCUGGAGUCAUCUCCUGCAGGAAUUAGUUUGGAUCUAAAUUUAUGCAAAUAUGGGAGCACUGAAAUGUCUUGUGUUGUCCAGAAUCAUAGUCAUGGAAUGAAAAUGCUGGUUUUGCUCAUGGCUUAGAACUGAGCUUAAAUAUGCAUUUCCUGGGCUCUGUGCAUUUUAAAAACAAAAUUUACUUUUGCAUUAGCAUCACAUCUGAAACACAAAUUUCCUUGUUUGCUUUUAAGAUAAGGGGAAAAAGUCAGGAACAGGACACACAUUAGCCAUACUUGUUAUUUGUAAAUUGAUGAACAGCUUCAGCCAGGAAGCAGAAGUUGUGCGUGGGAUGAUGUAGGAUGGAAUGAGGCGUCAUUCAUGUCCUUUGUGGUGCUUCAGCUGGUGAUAUUGAUGAGCAGUCAUGAUGGAGUGCACAAAUCCAAGACUUUGCAUGGUUCUGGACACACUUUUGAGCACGGUAGGGGCCAGGCUGGCUUUGGGAGGGUAAGGCUGCUGUAGGAAAUGUUUUUCAGUUGUGGCUUACACGGGAUUUACCAAUGUUCUGGAAAGAGCUGGUUUGUCCAGCUUUACAGAUAAAACAUGCCGUUUGAUUGUGGCAAAAAAAUGCACAAAGGAGAUUGACAAAACCUUUAUUUAUUUAAUUUUUUUCUGUGCAGUUCCUGUACCUGUCAAAGAGAUUUUACAGGAUGGAGAGCGAGUGGAUUUCCUUGUUUGACAAUGUGCCAGCUGUGACUUCUCAACUACUGCAUGUUGCAAUGAGCUAAGCAGUGGAAUUUGUGGUGACAUCAAAUGUUGCUCUCCAGGAUAAAUUUAGCGAUUCACGAAGCCCAAGGAGUGCAGGAGGGGGACUCAACAAGGAAACAAGAAAGUGGCCUAGAAUCCAGCAUGAACAGAACAAUCCUUAGGACAUACAAUAACAGGCUGAAGCUGUCAUAAACACUCUUUAUUUCCCUAAGAAAUGGAGUCCUGCAUCCCUGAAAAUGAGACACAGCGGAAACUCUGUUGAUCUUUCUUCCUAAGAUCAUGCAUUAACAGCAUUCUGGCAGGACUAAGUUAAGGACAGCAAAAGGAAUCCACAAUGUGAAUUUGGUGACGUAGUUGGAGAUAUUACCCCGUACUUCCUUGAUUUUGGUUUUCUUGGUUGAUCUGGGUUCCAAGAGGACUUCUUCUUCAACCAGUUUGAUGUUAUGAGUAGG